AUAAAGGUGAUCAAUAUGGAAAGGUAAAUAAAGGAAGUAUUGACUGGUUUCUAAAUGUGAUUGAGUUUGUAAGUGAAAGUGUCUCUGAUGGAAAUGACUUCAGAUCAAUGGAAACCCAAAGGUAAUGUUUGAGCCUCACUAAAUGUUCCUAACAACACAGAACUGUAUUAUUCCCAGUCGUCAUGGUAACGCCAUCAGUUGCCGGGCAGAUUUCACCUCAACAGGUUUCUGAAGCAGGAGCUCUGAGAACAGCUGAGUGCAGCGACACACACUGAUAACACACACAUUAGAGAGAUCAAUACAUCACUCAGAGUUACUUUAUUUUGUUACAUGUUCCUCCAUUAGAGAACAUUUUAAUUUGUUUCUUUUUAGAAAGCAGUAAACCAUUGAAUCUUUAGUUUCACAUCAAAUCCACUUUCCUCUAGUGUCUGAGACGCUAGUAGAAACCAAUACAUGUGUUGAUGGAAAGACGAGAAGACGGACAUUUGGGAGAUGGGUUUUUAUUGGAAAGUGAAACACGGACAGGAAAGGGUUAACAAUGCAGAGCGACUUCAUGUCACGUUCACCUCUGAACCCCAAACUAAAGAGAACGUCACAGUCCGCUGGCUCUGUACACAAAACCUCCCUGUCCCUAAAUCAUAGCAACAUUAUCAAAAUCACACACUAUUAUGUUUUAAAACCAAUUCAAGAGACAUGUUAUAAAUAAAGACACUUCUGAUUCAUUUAGAAAAGCUCAGAAAGGGAAAA